GGGUGUGUGGUGUAAUGGUAGCACACGGGAUUCUCAUUAUCCGCACCCGAAGUUGUCGGUUCGAUUCCGACCAUGCCCG